rnacentral:rRNA from 1 species
AUGAACGCUAGCGACAGGCUUAACACAUGCAAGUCGAGGGGCAGCGGGGGUAGCAAUACCCGCCGGCGACCGGCGCACGGGUGAGUAACGCGUAUGCAACUUACCUAUCAGAGGGGGAUAACCCGGCGAAAGUCGGACUAAUACCGCAUGAAGCAGGGAUCCCGCAUGGGAAUAUUUGCUAAAGAUUCAUCGCUGAUAGAUAGGCAUGCGUUCCAUUAGGCAGUUGGCGGGGUAACGGCCCACCAAACCGACGAUGGAUAGGGGUUCUGAGAGGAAGGUCCCCCACAUUGGUACUGAGACACGGACCAAACUCCUACGGGAGGCAGCAGUGAGGAAUAUUGGUCAAUGGCCGAGAGGCUGAACCAGCCAAGUCGCGUGAGGGAUGAAGGUUCUAUGGAUCGUAAACCUCUUUUAUAAGGGAAUAAAGUGCGGGACGUGUCCCGUUUUGUAUGUACCUUAUGAAUAAGGAUCGGCUAACUCCGUGCCAGCAGCCGCGGUAAUACGGAGGAUCCGAGCGUUAUCCGGAUUUAUUGGGUUUAAAGGGUGCGUAGGCGGCCUUUUAAGUCAGCGGUGAAAGUCUGUGGCUCAACCAUAGAAUUGCCGUUGAAACUGGGGGGCUUGAGUAUGUUUGAGGCAGGCGGAAUGCGUGGUGUAGCGGUGAAAUGCAUAGAUAUCACGCAGAACCCCGAUUGCGAAGGCAGCCUGCCAAGCCAUGACUGACGCUGAUGCACGAAAGCGUGGGGAUCAAACAGGAUUAGAUACCCUGGUAGUCCACGCAGUAAACGAUGAUCACUAGCUGUUUGCGAUACACUGUAAGCGGCACAGCGAAAGCGUUAAGUGAUCCACCUGGGGAGUACGCCGGCAACGGUGAAACUCAAAGGAAUUGACGGGGGCCCGCACAAGCGGAGGAACAUGUGGUUUAAUUCGAUGAUACGCGAGGAACCUUACCCGGGUUUGAACGCAGUCGGACCGAGGUGGAAACACCUUUUCUAGCAAUAGCCGUUUGCGAGGUGCUGCAUGGUUGUCGUCAGCUCGUGCCGUGAGGUGUCGGCUUAAGUGCCAUAACGAGCGCAACCCUUGCCACUAGUUACUAACAGGUAAAGCUGAGGACUCUGGUGGGACUGCCAGCGUAAGCUGCGAGGAAGGCGGGGAUGACGUCAAAUCAGCACGGCCCUUACAUCCGGGGCGACACACGUGUUACAAUGGCGUGGACAAAGGGAAGCCACCUGGCGACAGGGAGCGAAUCCCCAAACCACGUCUCAGUUCGGAUCGGAGUCUGCAACCCGACUCCGUGAAGCUGGAUUCGCUAGUAAUCGCGCAUCAGCCAUGGCGCGGUGAAUACGUUCCCGGGCCUUGUACACACCGCCCGUCAAGCCAUGGGAGCCGGGGGUACCUGAAGUCCGUAACCGCGAGGAUCGGCCUAGGGUAAAACUGGUGACUGGGGCU